UACGUAAGGGGCAAGCGUUGUCCGGAUUUAUUGGGCGUAAAGCGCGUGUAGGCGGCCAGAUAAGUCCGCUGUGAAAUCUCGAGGCUCAACUUCGAGCUGUCGGUGGAAACUGUCUGGCUAGAGUCCGGAAGAGGAGAAUGGAAUUCCUGGUGUAGCGGUGAAAUGCGCAGAUAUCAGGAAGAACACCCGUGGCGAAGGCGGUUCUCUGGGACGGUACUGACGCUGAGACGCGAAAGCGUGGGGAGCGAACAGG
rnacentral:rRNA from 1 species